rnacentral:rRNA from 1 species
AUGGCCGUAGCGACGACGAAGCUGGCGACGGUGACCGGUGCGGUGCAGGUGGCGGUGGUGGUGGCAGCUGUGCUGGUGGCGGCGGCGGUGGUCUCCGUCGAGGCCCAGGCGGAGGGCUGCCGCUACAUCGACCCGACGGCGGGGAGGACCUGCGAGCUCGCGGCGGGCGGCGGCAUCCCGGGGCUCCUAGCGCACUGCUGCGCCAUCUUGUCCGCCGACCGGGGCAACUGCCUGCAGUGCCGGCUGCGGGAGCUGCUCGCCGGGAGGGAGCAGCCCCUCACGGAGAUCUUCCCGUGCAUCGCCGUGGAAGCCGUUUGCCCGCGCGAGGGUCCAAGCGAUGAUCCACCACUCUUGUUCUCCGCUGGCGUUUGA